GCGACGCCGCGUGAUGAUGAAGCCCUUCGGGGUGUAAAGUUCCGUCGACAGGGAAAAUAAUGAUGGUACCUGUAGAGGAAGCACCGGCAAACUAUGUGCCAGCAGCCGCGGUAAUACAUAGGGUGCAAGCGUUGUCCGGAUUUACUGGGCGUAAAGCGCGCGUAGGCGGCAAUUCAAGUCAAACUUUAAGGGCUCCUGGCUCAACCGGAGUUUGGGUUUGAUACUGUUUUGCUAGAGAUUGGGAGAGGAAAGUGGAACAAACAGUGUAGCGGUGAAAUGCGUAGAUAUUGUUUGGAACACCCAUGGCGAAGGCAACUUUCUGGACCAAAUCUGACGCUGAGGCGCGAAAGCGUGGGUAGCAAACAGGAUUAGAUACCCUGGUAGUCCACGCUGUAAACGAUGUACAUUAGGUAUCGAGGGUAUCGACCCCCUCGGUGCCGAAGCUAACGCGUUAAAUGUACCGCCUGGGGAGUACGGUCGCAAGAUUAAAGCUCAAAGGAAUUGACGGGGGCCCGCACAAGCAGUGGAUCAUGUGGUUUAAUUCGACGAUACCCGAAAAACCUUACCCAAACUUGACAUCUAGAGAAGCUUACGGAAGCGUAGGUGUGCUCGCAAGAGAGCUCUAAGACAGGUGGUGCAUGGUUGUCGUCAGCUCGUGUCGUGAGAUGUUAGGUUAAGUCCUGCAACGAGCGCAACCCUCGUGCUGUGUUGCUACAUUAAGUUGAGCACUCUCAGCAGACUGCCCGUGGUAAACGGGAGGAAGGUGGGGAUGACGUCAAAUCAUCAUGCCCUUUAUGUUUGGGGCUACACACAUGAUACAAUGGUCGGUACAAAGGGAUGCGAAACCGCGAGGCGAAGCAAAUCUCAGAAAACCGAUCUCAGUUCAGAUUGAAGGCUGCAACUCGCCUUCAUGAAGAUGGAAUUGCUAGUAAACGCAGAUCAGCAUGCUGCGUUGAAUACGUUCCCGGGCCUUGUACACACCGCCCGUCACACCAUGAAAGCCGAAAAUAUCCGAAGUCAGUGAGCCAACCGUAAGGGGGCAGCUGCCUAAGAUAGAGUCGGUGAUUGGGGUGAAGUCGUAACAAGGUAGCCGUACCGGAAGGUG
rnacentral:rRNA from 1 species